GUGGGGAAUCUUGCGCAAUGGGCGAAAGCCUGACGCAGCCAUGCCGCGUGGAUGAUGAAGGUCUUAGGAUUGUAAAAUCCUUUCACCGGUGAAGAUAAUGACUGUAGCCGGAGAAGAAGCCCCGGCUAACUUCGUGCCAGCAGCCGCGGUAAUACGAAGGGGGCUAGCGUUGCUCGGAUUUACUGGGCGGAAAGGGCGCGUAGGCGGACAUUUAAGUCAGGGGUGAAAUCCCGGGGCUCAACCUCGGAACUGCCUUUGAUACUGGGUGUCUUGAGUAUGUGAGAGGUGAGUGGAACUCCGAGUGUAGAGGGGAAAUUCGUAGAUAUGCGGAAGAACACCAGUGGCGAAAGCGACACACUGGCUCAUUACUGACGCUGAGGCGCGAAAGCGUGAGGAGCAAACAGGAUUAGAAACCCGUGUAGUCC
rnacentral:rRNA from 1 species